rnacentral:lncRNA from 1 species
CGGGGGCUCCAGCUGUGGCACAGCUGCCUCGGCGGGCGGACGGGGGUGGGGGGAGGAAGGGGGCAAGUUAUUAUCUGCAACAAUACCUCGGGGGAGGAGGCAGCGGAGGCGAGCGCGGCGGCGGCGGCGGGAGGAGGCGGCGAGGGGCGGGCCGGAGGCGGCACCGGGACCGCCCCGCACCGCCCGCCCCCGGCCCCGCCGCCGGCCCCUUCCUUCCGCCCGGCGGCCCCUUCCGCGCCCCUGCCCCGCGGCGUGCCCCGGGCCGCCCCUCCCGCGCUCCCGGCUCGGUAUCCCCGCGCCGCUCCCGCCGCGUCUCCCGGGCAGCCCCUCCCGCGCUCCGCCCCGCACAUCCCUCCUUCCUUCCCUCGCUGCCUGCCUGCCUCCGGUCCGUCAGCCUCCUCGCAUCCCCCCGGCCGCGCCGCUGCCGCCUCCCGCAUCCCUCCGGCCGCGCCCCCCCCGGCCCUUACCUCCCUUGGGGCGCAGGGAGGGGCGGCCGGCGGCCCCCAGCUCGGCGGGACGGCCCCGAAACAAAAAGCGAAAGCGGCGGCCGCUGCCUCCCGCUCUGCCGGGCUGCCGCGCUCUGCCCGCGGCUGACGUCAAGGGCCCAAAUUCCUGCCUUUCCCUGCAGGCAGAUUUGUCCAUCUGUUCGGUAUCUACAUCUGCCCUGUAAAGAACGGGAAGACAGAAGGGUUACAUUGUAUUCAGGCUGUGGAGGGGAGCCUUGCCAAACCUUACUGAUUUGGAAAGAGAUUUCUGGGGACAUAUAG